rnacentral:lncRNA from 1 species
AGUCCGAGGCCCAUUAGGAGCACAGUGAACAGCAGCCCAGGCGAGCCCAGGGAGGCAAGAAAAUGAGGCUCCCCGUGAGGUCUAAUAAACACCUCUCGCCACACCCCAAACACAUAGACACGCAAUAGAGCCCAUAGGUCCUGAGUGAGUCCCCCUGGCCCACCCCAUUCAGCUGAGAUCUGACAACAUAUGUUUGGGGACAAACAGCCCCAGCAGCCAGGAGCAGGCCACAUCAUACAUAGUCAGCAUCAGCCAUGGUCCCCUCCCACUCUCCUGGGGGAAAAAGGUGCUUUACAGGCAGCGUGGCAUCCGAGCAUCCCCAUGGCGAUGCUGAGGUCAGACCUCACUGUGGUGAUCUCACGCUGGGGCCACCGGACUCAGGCCAGGCUGGGAGUAGGCUGUCUAGCCAUUGCUGGCUGUCAUUGUCACCAAGGGAAGGGGAGAAGCUGUGAAGAGUUGCUCUGGAAAAAACAAAUCUGCUCAUAGGACAAUGGGUCUGGGUGAACCUAUCCCGGCCCUCUUGGCUGCUGGGCCAGGGCCUGGUUUUUCACAGGGCACCAUUGAGACCACAGGAAGUGGCUUCCUGCCUCUGAAGACAGCACACAACUGCCCUAGAAAGCGCUCUUGUCACCCCUGCUGGUAGAGAAUCAGAGGCUUGUAGAUGUCUUUGCCACUUCCACGGGAUCUCUGGGAGCUGGAAACUGAGCUUUAAGAAAUAACUAUAGUGCAAAGGGAACUAAGGGAAAAGGGUUCAGCCCAAAGCAGAAGGGACUGUGAUGAUCACAGUGACCUCCUGAGGCCAGCAUGGUGGUAGCAGCCAGAGACAGCAGCUGAGUGAGACCCUAAGGGAGGGAUGAGCCAGGCAGUGUGUGGUUGGAGUUCUCCCUACACAUCUCGUUUUCCUCACCUCCAGAUCACACACAUGCACACACACAUAUGCACCCACACACCCCUUACACACUCCGGCCCGAAGGUUUCUGCAGGACUCCUUCCUGGCACUCUCUCCAGUGCUGCCAGCGUCGCACCACACUGCAAGGCUUUGCAAACUUUCCUUCCAAAGUGAAGGAGACCCUCUGGCCAUCUGAGGCUCGGUCUGAAGCAACAGCCUCAGAGCGCAAUCUCAGGCAUGCAGGAAGUGCAGGAAGGCCACGUGCCACAUACGUUAUCUCACUUAAUCUCAUUAGCAGGAAAUGUCUUUAAAGUCUUAUGUUGGUGCUUAAAAAUUCCUGAGCAGUUUAGCCCUUAAUAAAGCCAGGCUUUUUAAAAUUUGAAA